UGGAAACAGGUGCUAAUACCGCAUAACAACUUGGACCGCAUGGUCCGAGCUUGAAAGAUGGCUUCGGCUAUCACUUUUGGAUGGUCCCGCGGCGUAUUAGCUAGAUGGUGGGGUAACGGCUCACCAUGGCAAUGAUACGUAGCCGACCUGAGAGGGUAAUCGGCCACAUUGGGACUGAGACACGGCCCAAACUCCUACGGGAGGCAGCAGUAGGGAAUCUUCCACAAUGGACGAAAGUCUGAUGGAGCAACGCCGCGUGAGUGAAGAAGGGUUUCGGCUCGUAAAACUCUGUUGUUAAAGAAGAACAUAUCUGAGAGUAACUGUUCAGGUAUUGACGGUAUUUAACCAGAAAGCCACGGCUAACUACGUGCCAGCAGCCGCGGUAAUACGUAGGUGGCAAGCGUUGUCCGGAUUUAUUGGGCGUAAAGCGAGCGCAGGCGGUUUUUUAAGUCUGAUGUGAAAGCCUUCGGCUCAACCGAAGAAGUGCAUCGGAAACUGGGAAAC
rnacentral:rRNA from 2 species